UCACUUGCUGGAUCGAACCCAAGGAUAGGUUUGAUCGGCCGGGUGUUGGAUCGAAUGAACAUUCAACCGCGUCAUCACGGCAGCGAUGGAUGUCCAACCUUUAGAUCUCUUCUUUCUCAAUAAAGGCGGGUAAGGAAAGUCCGAAGGCUAAUCCGGCAACUGCUGGCUAGAAGGCGAAAACCGCUUUUGCCAAUCAAAGCCCCAAAACUAGUAAGGGCACGAGUGCCCCC
rnacentral:lncRNA from 1 species